rnacentral:lncRNA from 1 species
AUCGGUCACAAGAAACAGACCGGUCCUUGUGAUGGCGUUGGCCUUCUCGGCAUAGCUUGGGCCUUCGGUGGCAUGAUUUUCGUUCUCGUUUACUGCACCGCCGGCAUUUCUGGUAAACACCUACCCUUACUCUUACCCUAACCCAACCCACCGCUUCUGUUUCUCUUUUGUUCUUUUCUCUUCUACGGUUUCUGACUUCUUAUCAACGCAAACACAGGUGGACACAUAAACCCAGCGGUCACUUUUGGCCUUUUCCUGGCGCGCAAGGUCUCGCUCAUCCGUGCUGUUCUCUACAUUGUAGCACAGUGCCUUGGUGCUAUCAGCGGCGUCGGGUUGGUCAAGGCCUUCAUGAAGCACCCCUACAACUCCCUCGGCGGCGGUGCCAACUCCGUCAGUUCUGGCUACUCCAAAGGCACUGCUCUCGGUGCCGAGAUUAUCGGCACAUUUGUGCUUGUCUACACCGUUUUCUCUGCCACCGACCCUAAGAGAAGCGCGCGUGACUCUCAUGUCCCCGUACGUUCUUCUUCACUCUUUUCUCGUUCCUCACUCACGGACCAUGGGUCUAUGUAGCUUUUUUAGUAAUAAAAGAAUGUCUUGUGCAGGUGUUGGCUCCAUUGCCCAUUGGGUUCGCCGUUUUCAUAGUUCACUUGGCUACCAUACCCAUUACCGGUACCGGGAUUAACCCGGCCAGGAGCUUCGGAGCUGCUGUCAUCUACAACAAUGGCAAAGUUUGGGAUGACCAUGUGAGAAUCUAGCCCGACGUGUAUGCAUGGUUGUGGUAUUUUGAUUUGUAACUGAUAAUGUGUGGUGUAUUUGGUUGCAGUGGAUCUUUUGGGUUGGACCGUUCGUGGGAGCGUUGGCGGCGGCGGCAUACCACCAGUACAUACUGAGAGCAGCGGCUAUCAAGGCGUUGGGGUCGUUCCGGAGCAACCCCACGAACUAGUUGCUGACGGAAAAGAGGAGAGAGAUAGUGUAGAGGAAGUUUAAUUGGUGUUUGCAGCAUUCAUGAUUUGUUAUUCGGUUGAU